GAUGAACGCUGGCGGCGUGCUUAACACAUGCAAGUCGAACGGAACGCCAAGGAAAGAGUUUUCGGACAAUGGAAUUGGUUGUUUAGUGGCGGACGGGUGAGUAACGCGUGAGUAACCUGCCUUGGAGUGGGGAAGUAACACAGUGAAACUAGUGCUAAUACCGCCAUGACAUAUUGGUGGUCGCAUGGCACUGAUAUCAAAGAAUUUAUUCGCUCUGAGAUGGAC
rnacentral:rRNA from 1 species